GAAAAAGACAAAAAUUAUCAUGCAAGAUUACAUUAAAUAGUGAUGACGAACACUUCCAACAAACCAAGAAAAGCAACCAUCACAAAUUUCUAUAACCAUUUUCUCCUAAACUAUGUAGAGAAAAAUAGUAAUUUAAUUAUAAAAAUUUCUAACAUACAUUUAAUCAAAUACCUUCUCUCGUAUUAUGUAGAUAAAAAUAAAAUGUUAACUAUAUGAAUCUCUAAUAGACAUUUAAUCAAGCACUUUACAUGUGCAAAAAUCUUUCAAAAUUGUAAACCAAUUAUACAUGUUAAAUCUUCAAUUGACAUUCAAAUUUUCCCAAAUCAUGAUUUCUUAGACAAGAACGAGUAAAAUUUACAAGAUAAUUGAACAUGAAAAUAUCAAGAUAAAGCCAAACCCUAACCAUCGCGACAACCACAAGCCACCAUUACCUUACCCCUCCACAACAAAUCCAAUACCAUGCAAAUCAAACCCAAUCAAUUUUUGCACCAAAAUCCCAUCAAUUUUACUAUUUAGAAAACUAAACCCACAAGUUUUAAUACAUACCUGAUGUCAAUUUUAAUUUAAAAAAAAAUUCAGCAACCUUACCUGGAUAUGGAUUGAUUCAUCGAGGAAAAAAAAUUAAAAAAAAAAAACAAUUGUUUCUCACGGUGGAGGUAGAUAUACUUGUGGAGAUAAUGAAAAGAUGAAAAAACUGAGUAACAAUGUGAAAUGAGAGAGCAAACAAGCGUGACAGCUUUAUAUGAAGGAAGAAUGGUGGCAUUUUGAAUGACAAAAUAGUGGAGUUUUUAUGAUCUAUUAAGAUUGAAAUUUUAAUUCUAGGGUUUCAAAUGAUGAAAGAGAGAGGCAAAAUGGAGAGUGAUUGGGAGAACGUCCAACACUUAGACAAAAUUGUGUGUUU
rnacentral:lncRNA from 1 species